UGGGGCCAGGCACGCCCCAGGCAGAGCGCCACUGUCCCAUCUCUGGGCCUCGUAACCUCCGUGGAUAGCGACCCCUGCUGCAACUUCGGAGCGAAGCCACCUAGGACCACUUGAGCAAUCCUGCCCAGCCACAAAAGGCCCCUCCAGAACAAAAUCAGCAAAAAAAGUUGCCCCCAGGAAGAAGGCAUAGACAUUAGCACAGCUUCCGGAGGAAGGGAAAGAGAGCGAUUCCGGACUCUAGAAGGGGCGAGGCGGAGACGGGCAACAGAGCCCGCAGCGCAUGCGCGGCCAGCGGCGCUCAGAGGAAACUAGUCAGCCAGUUCAUCCGCCUCCAAAUAUCCUUGUGGGAAGAGGGGGAGAAGGGAACGGUUAAAAAUAAAGUGGUCAAAAAAAGGAAGAAAAUGGAAAAUGGAAAAGAAGGGAAAGAAAACAUCAUUGAAGCAUUUUUCAAAAAGAAAUCUGAAAGCAAAUAGACCAACAGAACAUCUUUGGAAAUUACAUGUUGAAUUAACUAUUUGCAAAAGGAAAAGCAAAAUGUACAUACUUUGUGUGUGGAAUUGUUCAUUUUAAUUGAUUAAAUAAGAAUAAAAAUAA